rnacentral:rRNA from 1 species
GUGGGGAAUUUUGGACAAUGGGCGCAAGCCUGAUCCAGCAAUGCCGCGUGCAGGAAGAAGGCCUUCGGGUUGUAAACUGCUUUUGUACGGAACGAAACGGUCCUGGCUAAUACCUGGGGCUAAUGACGGUACCGUAAGAAUAAGCACCGGCUAACUACGUGCCAGCAGCCGCGGUAAUACGUAGGGUGCGAGCGUUAAUCGGAAUUACUGGGCGUAAAGCGUGCGCAGGCGGUGCUGUAAGACAGGCGUGAAAUCCCCGGGCUCAACCUGGGAAUUGCGCUUGUGACUGCAGUGCUGGAGUGCGGCAGAGGGGGAUGGAAUUCCGCGUGUAGCAGUGAAAUGCGUAGAUAUGCGGAGGAACACCGAUGGCGAAGGCAAUCCCCUGGGCCUGCACUGACGCUCAUGCACGAAAGCGUGGGGAGCAAACAGGAUUAGAAACCCCAGUAGUCC